CCCAUGAAAAGCGUUGCUUAUGGAUUUCCAGAAACGGUGUGAGUAGUAUCAAAGGCUUGAUGAAAACGCCCCCACCACGCCCCCUUUCCACAAAACAUCUAAAAUGAGCGUUCAGUCAUACUCCUGCACAGAGCCUGAUUCUCUUUGGUAUAAAUCAAGCCAGUAGCUGCAAUUAAAAGGAACUAUAUAGCAAGCUACAUCCUUACACAUUGCAGAAUUUUAGUGAAACAGAAAGAUCAGUUUCCACACGCUGCCGAGUAGUUUUGCAAGCCUUUCAAACAAGUUACAUCACUGCUGUGCAAUGAGCUCCUACAAGAGGAUCGUUAUUCUGGGAGGCUGUGGUCACUGAGCUGCGGAAGAGAAAUCCAUAUGGGCCACAGACACGUCUGCCGAUUGCUUUCUGAACCCUAGAUCACACGUCUUCCCAGCUCAUCCCACAGAUCUGGAGUUUGGGGCACCCAUGGCUCGACUGUCACAUUUCCAUCCCUAGAGAAAGUGAUUGUUACGUCAGAAGCUGCAAGACGUGCAUUGUUCUGUUGGAAAGUUGUUGUGUCAGGUCCCAGAACUUGAGCAGUAUAGGGCCCUGCAGCAAGGUGGCCAUCAAUCACUACAAGUGUAGGUUUGUUGUGACUACAGUAAAUUGUCCAUACCAGACCAUCACGUUUGGACCUCCCCGUCUGAUUGGUGUGUUGUACAUAGCAAUUAGCAUAUCUUCCUGCCUGUUUUCACCACACUCACAGACAUCCAUUAGAGGCUCAAUGCAAAACCUUGAAUUGUUGCUGAAGAGGACUUUACUGCCUGGCUGGAGGGUCCAGCUGAGGUGACUGGCUCCAGCCUCCAACAUAACAAAGGCACUAAGAUGCCUUUCAUGAAAGACAGGGUACCUGUAUAUUGACUUCCUCUGAUGUUUUCCUUCCUGAUUUUUUUAGCAGAUUUGACAUCCAUCAUCUUAUAUCUCAUCUUUGCUCAAUAAUCUCUCAUUUAGGAGGUGAUUUAGUACUCAUGCAACAGUCACUCAAAUGUAUCAUGGUCACUCACACUUGUGUUGCUAAAAACAUUUAAUUAAUAGACAUCUAUAAAUCGGUAUAUUUUUCUGAGUAACAAGCUUGCAUAGAGUGAUGUUUAUUUGAACCCUGAGAACCUGAGGAUCUCCCUGAUGAAUGCAUCUUGUUUUUUUGUUUUUGGUUCCAUGUACAACUGUGGUCAACACUUGUCAGUCAUAUUACAAGUUGCAGUUUAAUUGGAAAUGGAUCAUAGUUUUAUGCACUGCCCUAUCAGCCAAAUCAUGAGCCAUUUUGAAUUUGUAGAAUUUCUAGGUCAAUACUUAAACACUUAAAACACAUAUUAAAUAUAAAACCCAGUUAAAUAUUGCAAAAAUACUCUUAUUUGUGGGGGGGAAAAAAAAUCAAGCUUUCA